CCCUAUGGGGUGCACCAGGGUUACAUAGCGGGCGUCGCGCAGCUUUGCAAGGAAAACAACGUUCUAUUCAUCGCGGAUGAAAUCCAGACUGGCCUGUGCCGGACCGGCAAGUGGUUCGCUUGCCAGCACGAAAAUGUCCGCCCGGACAUCCUCGUCAUUGGCAAGGCCCUCUCAGGCGGUAUGUACCCUGUCUCAGCCGUUUUGGCAGACGAAGCCAUCCUUGGCCUCAUCCAGCCUGGCGAGCAUGGCUCCACCUUUGGUGGCAGUCCCGUCGCGGCCGCGGUGGCCCUUGCCGCCCUGGAAGUGCUGGAGGAAGGCCAUUUGGACCAGCGCGCCGAGGAGCUCGGCGCUUACUUCAUGGACCAACUUCGCCAGAUUAAGAGCCCUGUAGUCAAGGAAUGGGCGGGAGAGC
rnacentral:rRNA from 1 species